rnacentral:rRNA from 1 species
AUGCAACAUGUAGCAGCGGGCAGUACUGGCAGCCGGGAUGUUUCCAACCUCUCCUGUCCCUCUUCUGAUGUGGAGGAUGGCGGCUUGGCACGGGACGCGACAGUGCGGCCACCAACACCCUGCAUCCUCCACCGGUGUCUCAUGUACGUGCCCCUAGCCCCCUUCCUCCUACUAUCUUCACUGCCUCUGCUGCAGUCGAUGGAUGUCCACAUGCCAGACAACGGGCGCAGCAGCGACCAUGGUCAGACCCGCGACUCCCGCCCCACCAAUCGUAGACACUUCUUCUUGUGGCUUACUGCUUCCCCUGCAGGUGGAGCUCAAGUGCUCAACGUGGAGGAGCUCGCCAUGGGCUAA